rnacentral:miRNA from 1 species
CCAAUGGUGGCCGCCAUGUUGC